AGUAUUCAGAUUUAAUCAUUCACCAAAUUUUAAAUUAUCUGAUUGAAAGGUAUUCUGCGUAAUGAAUACUAAAAAAGGUUCUGUGAGUAGAAUGUGCAAAGUGUCAAAUUGCCGUAACCUGAAAAGUGCAAGUGUAAAACUGUAUAGUGUAUAGUUUACCAAAGGAGGGUGUAAGGCGAGACUUGUGGUUUGAGAGAAUGUAUUACAUCAACGACACCAACCUGAAAAAUCUGUAUGUGUGUUUGGAUCACUUUCUCACAGGAAAGCCGAGUGGAGAAUUCAAAAAAAAAACAUGUUGAUUGGGCACCCUCUAUAAAUUUGGGAUCAAAUAAGACGAAACAAUUUCUAGUUGGUGAUCAGAAAGUAAGUAACAAUGUUGCUUUUGACAAGGCUGAUACACCUUUGCCUUCAUCAACACUACCCGUGAUGGGAGAGCAAUGGCCAUGAACUCUUGAACCCAACCAUCUUUUACAGCCUUUUUGGAUUAAGAAGACAGCCCCUUGUAUGCACCAAGGGCUUCCAGAUGAUUUUGAUAGCUUUUUGUUUCAACAAGAUAUAUGAAGAUAUCUGUGGGAGAAAUUUUUGG